CUUGCCUGAUCAUCUUCCUUCAUUGAAAACGCUUUGGGUGUCCGACUGCGGGGUUCUACAUGAAAGGGCUACCAGAACAAGAUGGAUACCCUGGUCUCUCAUCGUUAACACGGAGUCCUUGCGACAAUCUCUUCAACGACUGAUGAUAGUUAGAUGCCCUGGUCUUUCUUCGUUACUAGAGACGGAGUCGCUGUCUUCGCUUCGGAAUCUUGAGGUUCAAAUUUUUAGUAGCACAGAUUGCUUGCAGCCGCACUUGAGCAGUUGUCUUCGACGUUUGAGUCUCGUUAACUGCGCGUCACUCUUGUCGUUCCCGAGAAAUGGUCUACCCACUUCGUUGACAUUUCUUAGAAUAGAAAAUUGCAGGAGAUUAGAAUUCCUAUCUCAUGACAUGAUGGCCAAAUUGACAUCCCUUCGAAAUUUGGAUUUGGGGGGACAGCUGUCAUUCGCUGAGGUCCUUCCCGCUGGGCGUUUUCCCCAAACUUUCAUCUCUUCAGAUCUGGGGCAGUAAAAAUCUAGAAUCCCUUGCCAUUGGAGAAGGAGCUGAUGACGAAAAUCUCACUCAUCUCGACCAUCUCUAUAUCUCUGAUUGUCCAAAUCUGGUCUCUUUUCCCCACGGGGGAUUGCGCACUCCCAAACUGGCUCGAUUUGUAGUCCAGGGAUGCGACAAUUUGAAGUUAUUGCCCGACCGAAUACACACCCUCACCGGCCUUCGACAUUUGGUUAUAAGCGAACUUCCAAAUGUUGAGUCAUUUGCAGAAGGGGGUUUGCCUCCCAACCUACAAUCAUUUUUAAUCAGUGGUUGUGAGAAACUGAGGCCUUCAGUGGAGUACUGGGGUUUGCAACGACUUGUCUCCCUUCGAACAUUUCAGAUCUGGGGGAGCGAGGAUCUGUUGGAGACGGUGCUCAAGGAACAGCUGCUCCCUACCACUCUUCACUCUCUCGAAAUCGGUGGAAUGAAAAAUCUGAAAUCUUUGGAGGGAAAGGGACUUCAACACCUCACUUUUCUUCAAGAGCUCAAAAUUACAAGAUGUGAUAGUCUCGAAUUCCUGCCAAAAGAGGGUUUGCCGGCAUCGCUUUCGUUUCUGAGCAUCAUCAGGUGUUCUUCCCUGGAGACGAGGUGUCAGAAGAAGACGGGACAAGAGUGGAGCAAGAUAGCUCACAUUCCUUUGAUCAAGAUAGAUGAUCAAUUCAUCAUUUGAGGCCUCAAGUCAAAGGCAGGACAAUAUCAUCCAAGUGCAACAUGUGUUUGCUUACAUAAAUUACUAGUUGUCGAAUCGUGCCAUGGCUGUUGGAGUGAGAACGGGUGACGAUGACCACAGAACAAAAAUGAGAGCCAGGUUUUUUUGGAGCACUGCCCUCACGCUUGCGCUUGUUGGAAGUCAGUAAAUUAUGUUACUUGAGCAGGAAGAGCUGUUUUCUGCAUUUCAAGUUACAAGAUCUUUUCGGUCUUUCCUCCAGGACAUCGAGGGGAUGGAUUGGGGAGCAAAAUGAAAGAUUGACCAACGUAAAGGGGACGCGAUAGCAAAAACUUCAUAUUGGAGCUGGGGAUCGAUAAUAUGAAGUUAUUGCCCAAACAUAUGCACACCCGCACCACCCUUCAAAAAUUGAGCACCUGGGAUCUUCCAAAUCUUGUGUCAUUUGGUGAAAGGGGUUUUCCUCCUAACCUAGAAACAUUUCAUAACAGGGAUUGUGAGAAACUGAGGCCUUCAGUGGAGAACUGGGGUUUGCAACUACUUGUCUCCCUGCGAAGAUUUCAGAUCAGCAGCGAGGAUGUGUUGAAGACGUUGCUCAAGGAACAGCUGCUUCGUACCACUCUUCACACUCUUGCAAUCUCUUAUCUAUCAAGUCUGAUAUCUUUUGACAGAAAUGGACUUCAACACCUCACUUCUCUUCAAAAGCUAUAUAAUGGAAAGUGUGAUAGUCUCGACUUCCUGCCAAAACAGGGUUUUCCUGCAGCUUUUUCUUUCCUGAACAUCACCAGAUGCCCCUCUCUGAAGAAGAGGUAUGAGAACAAGAAGGGAAAAGAAUGGAGAAAGAUAGCUCAUAUUCCUUGCAUAAAGAUAGAUGACAAAGUCAUCAUGAUAUGAUCUCUCUCUCUCUCACACCAAAACUUUUGCUUCUCAUUGCACUCUCAACUCUCUAAUGUCAGGAGAAUGUGAUGGGCGUGACUUAUUUAUGUGCAUUCUGUGGAAAUGGAAAGACAUGAUUAUCUGAGGAAACCAAAAUUACAACAAAUUGUAGUCCUUGAAUGCCACUCAGUGGCUCUGCCUCUGCCCAUCCGGCAUGAAUAUGAUUCUGCUGCAUCGGAAAAGGUGGACACAGCACGGAUGUGUUGAAGAGUGUGUGGGUUCGUUGCGUGUUGCCUCAUGGCUGUGCUUGCUUGUAAUGUAUACAGCUGGUUUGCAUACCUGUACAUUAUGUUUACUAGACUAGGACAAUAGCAUCCCAAAGCAACACGUGUUUGCUUAAAUGAAUUACUAGUCGUCGAAUCGUGCAAUGGCUAUCUGUCAUCAUGAAUAUGAUUCUCCUGCAUGGGCGAUGAGGUAUCUUUCUGAGACAAGUUAUGAAAAAGGAAUGCGCUCGAGUUGACAUUUGCAUUCAAUAUCACUGAGAAGAAACAAACAUUUUUUCAAUUUGAUGAUGAAUGGAAGCGGGGCAAAAUUAUGUCACUAGCGUGUUCGUCAGCUUUGCUGAUGCAGAUAGCAAACUGUGGAACUGUAGAGAUUGGAUUAUCUAAGGCCAAUGAUUUUGACGUCUAUCAAUUAGUUGUCCAUGAAUGGUUGUCCCGCAGUGUGGCAUGAAUAUGAUUCUCCUUCAAUUGGAUAGUGAGAAUGGGUGACGAUGACCACAAAACAUAAUGAGAGCCACGUUUCUAUGGAGCACCGCCCUCAUGCUUGCCAUCGUUGGAAUUCUGUCCAUUAUGUUACUAGAGCAGUAUUCAUACAUGUUGAGCUGGGGUAUGAAAAAGAAAAGCACUUGUGUUGGCACUUGUGUUGGCAUCCUAUCAAUUCAUCAUUUGAGGCCUCAAGUCAAAGGCAGAUACCAAACUGUGGAACUGUAAAGAUUGGAUUAUCUAGGGCCAAUGAUUUUAACGUCCAUCAAUUAGCUGUCCAUGAAUGGUUGUCCCGCAGUGUGGCAUGAAUAUGAUUCUCCUUCAAAUGGAUAGAUAUGUUUUUGUACACACACAUCUCUGUUGAAGUGAGAACGGGGUGACGAUGACCACAAAACAAUUUUAGAGCCAGGUUUCUAUGGAGCACCACCCUCAUGCUUGCCCUCGUUGGAAUUCUGUCCAUUAUGUUACUAGAGCAGUAUUGAGCUGGGGUAUGAAAAAGAAAAGCAAAGCACUUGUGUUGGCAUCCUAUCGAAACAGAUAUGAGAAGAAACAGGAUUUUCACAUCUUGAUGUGGAAAUGAAGUGGGAGAACGCAUCGAUCUGAAGCCUAUGAAGUGAUCCAAAGGAACUGAGAAAUUAUAGCAUUUUGCUCUAUCAUUGGGGAUGUUAUGAGCUAUCCCUUGAGUUGUAUCAGGACAAAAAGGUAUGUUUUCUAUAUGUGUGGUGACAUGCGACUACAAUUGGAAUCUAAUAAAAUAUGAGCAAUCCCUUCAAGUAUGUUCAAGCUGAAGAAACAAGGGGAGAUGGAUGUCAAAAGCAAGGAUGGUUUGCCGCAAAAAACGUAUGGAUUCAAACAAGGUUUUAGUGACGUUCAAGUGGGUUUAUGCCCUCGAGUUUUGAUAGGUAACCGGUGUUGGUUCACCAAGAAAACGAGGGAUGGAGAAGUCUCUUGGUGGAAGCAAAGAUAUGAACUUGGAUGCAUCUCCGAAUCUGAUGAGCAGGAAACUAUGAAAACAAAGCAGGAAGAGUUUAUGGAAAUUUGCGGCAGAGAUGGUGCUGCUGCUUUGAGCAAUAAGGAUGUCAAUGCCAAGGCGUUCAGAAAGCAUUGUAAAGUCAAGGAAUGGCCCGGGACUAUUGAGACUCAAGAGGCAAUGUGUGUUGAUUCACCUAGCAAACGAGGGAAGGAGAACGCCCUUGAUCAGAGCAAUGAUGUGAAGUACUGGGAUGCGGCAAAGCAGGACGAGUUGAUGGAAACUUGUAAUCAGCAGGGAUGGUGCUGCUGCUGUGAAUAAGAAUAAUGCCAAGGGCAAGAGCAAGGGCAAGGCUGCAGGAGGGUGUCGCAGGGUCAAGGAACGCCACAUUGAGAGCAGAGAGGGAAAUGCUCUCCAAUUUUUUAAGUCCAGUGAAACUUUUAGAGUUUUUUAAAAUUGAAAACUCCCAAGCGGAAUCUGUCUUCGACAACACGUGGACAGUUUGUGAUGGGAUGACUUAUUUCUGUGCAUUCUGUGGAAUUGUAAAGACGUGGCUAUCUGAGGCAACCAAAAUUACAAGUAGUAGUCCUUGAAUGCCGCUCUGUGGCUCUGCCUAUCCGGCAUGGAUAUGAUUCUCCUGCAUCAAAAAAGGUAGACAGCGCGGAUGCGUUGAAGAGUGUGGGUUCGUUGCGUACUGCCUCAUGGCCGUGCUUGCUUAAAUACCUGUACAUUACGUUUCCUAGACACUGCACAAUGUAAAAUUAUGAAGCGAGAAAUUGGGUCACUUUGUCGCAAUCCCCUACUCGGAUGUAUGUUGCAGCCCAUGAAUCAGCACACUAUAGCUUCACUUGGCAUGCCUUGUAAAGCACCGGAUAUGACUAAUAAUACGAAGCCCGUUAUUUGGUGCACUAGGACACUGGGCUUUGCACUCAUCACUUGCUUGGAGCUUCUUCAUAGAAUAAUUGUUUCAGUUGAUCUGUGUUAGGAUAUGACAUUAUUAUUAAGCUUUGAUUAAAUACAGAGGGGAGUGCUUGCACUUGUCACUUGCCUUCUUAUUUUAA